UCUUCUCCAAACCUUUUAAAAAAAAAAAACAGAAUUUGUGUCAUCUCUCCUCCGUCGUCCUCACUUAUCCUUAUCACCCUCACCACUCCCGCUCAUAACAAUGAUCGACUCCCUCCACCUUAGUCCUCACCAAUCCUUACGCACUCACUCUUCUAUUUCUCUCUCAUCUUCAUCUAUCUACGCUUACGGAUUGCAAAACAAGGAACAAGCAAAGCUAUGAGUUUUCUUUCAAACAGAGUUUGGAGUAUAUACGUCGGAUUUCUGCUAUGGUGCGAACGGUUAUUGAUUGUUUCAACUCCAUUUUUUAGGAAGUAGGGUUGAGCAGAACAAGGUUGGUACCGUGAGAACCAUGGAACCAAACACUGAGUACCGCAUAGACACAACAGGUUACGGGCUGUUAAACUUGACCUGCAUUUUUUAAGUGACAAACAUGGGUUACGGGUUGUUACGCGGGAUUGUAAGAAUAUAUGUAACAUGUGUUACGCAUCCUAGUGUAACACAAAAAACUUUUUGAACAUAAUUUGUGAAAGCUAACCGUGAAUAAACUGUCUUCGUGUGUGAUGGAAAAAAACCGUUAUACCGUCUUCUGACACUUGGUUUGAAAUGUAGCAAAAAAAAACUUGCCCUUGAGAAUUUCCUUUCGGACGACAUGAAAAA